GCUGGUGGGGCCUGUCCAUGGUCAAGGACAGAGGUGAGAUCUCAUUUGCCGGGAACCCCUGUUCUCUGCUUUCCCUAAGGCUAUUCCCUUUGCAUCUCAGGAGCCUGCCUCUCUCCUGCUCUGCCCACCCUUUCCCCUGCUAGGGUCGCUCCUGCCCCUCUGCCUCCCUGUCACUUUGUUCUAGCUCUUUCUCUGUGGGGAUCAUGGUGGCAGAGCCCCCCACCAAAGCCCAUGUGGAUGAGUGUCUUCCUCUAGCUUCUUAUCCCCACCUCUGCCUGCUCAGGCGCCUCUGGGUUCUGGCUUGCUCCCCAAUGCCCUGUUAUAGAACCUGGGGGUGUUGCUGAAGCCCAUACCUGACCCCCCAUGGCUUCCUUAGAACUCUGCAGUGCCCCAACUCUGCAGUCCACCCCAGCAAUUCUCCAUGAGGGCUGCACACCAGUCCCCAGGGAGCCCUGAUAGGCGGGGUGUUCCUUGAGGCUCUGCACAAGGUUUUAAGGUGCAGGUGGGAGGGAGAGCUCCUGGUCCAAGAUCCUGACACUGCCCUUCUGGCUGCCCGGGCACACCUGCCGCCGCCACCACCCCUCUGGCAGGCUUCGGAUGUUCUCAGGUCUUCCUGUCCUGACACCUGUCUUCACCUGAAUGUCUCGCCUUAGGACACUGCCACCUCAUCUUCCAGGCCUCAGCUUAAACAACUCUCCCUGGAAGCUUCCCCUGACCCUACCUGGGCAGGAGCCUCCUCUGUGUCUCCACAGGCCCUGCACCUGCCCAUGCAUGUCAGCUCUUACCGCUGUCUGUCUCCCCUAGAAUGUUCUCUUCAUCCUUACGUUCCCUGCCCCUAGCACCAUGCCUGGCACAUAGUUGGUGCUGAGAAACAUGCCACUGAGUGACUGAGUAGAUGAAUAGUGAAUGAACCAACCUUUGCUUUGCCAUGAUUCUGCCAUCCCCCUGGGCAAGUCACUGUUCCUCCGAGCCUCAGUUUCCCCCUUAAAAUAUCUCUGCAACCCUGCCUGCCUCCAGAUUGUAAGCCAUUGUACAGAAGUCACCAGCACAGAGGCUGCAGGGCAUGGCUGCAGGUUUGCCAGCUGGGCCUGUGUCCACAGAACUGUGCGGUGGCCUCCAGGGAUGGCCAGCUCUGGCCAGUGAAGGUAGAAAGGGGAGAGACCCCAUUUCUGAGAGCAGUAGCAGGAAGAGCGGGAGCUCUGGAGGCCCCCAGUCCUGGGUUCCCAUCUCCGCUCCAGUCCUCUCUGUCUGUGUGACUUACAGCAACAUGUCUCUGAGCCUUGGUUUCUCCAUCCAUAAAAUGGGCCCACAGCAUCCACCCCUAGGGCUGUUGGGUGGAUCGUAUGAAGUCACAUUCUCUUAAAAUCCGGCCUCGUGUGGAAAGUGCCAGUCCCCCGCUGCUGCUCACCUCCCUCGCGCAGGGCGCCCCAGCCGGUGAUCCAGCAGUGCAGGCCGGGCUCGAAGAAGUGGGAGCGCGCGGGCAGGCAGACUGGACGCACGGCGGCCGAGCGCACCACCGGGUGGUCGAGCUGCAGCAGCGCCACGUCGUAGUCGUGGCUGUCUUCUUCGUGAUAUGGGUGCAGGAGCAGGCGGCUCACCUUGAAGGACACCUCGCCAGGCCAGCGCGAGUUCUGCCACACUUUGCCCAGGAACACGGUCCACAGCGCCGGGGAGGCCAUGCUGGGGCGAGGUGGGGUGGGGUGGGGUCCUUGCUCCGGGGCUGCCUCUUCCCAGCCAGAGACACUCAGAAUAGCCAGCUCCCCACCUGGGACGGUGACUUCCACACCCGCCCUCCCUUCCCUCCCUGGAGGCCGCCUAGCCGGUGGAGCAGCCUUCAGCCUUGGUCCUAGUCGGCCCAGCUCCAUCCCUCCCUAGACAAGUGUGUGCCUCUCGAAGCCUCUGCCGCCUCAUCUGAGAAAUGGGAAUGGCAUUUUCUACUCGAAUGUUCUUGAGAGAAUCUAAUAAGACCGUGUAUGUAAAAAAUGUAGCACAGUGACUGGC